UACGGAGGGUGCGAGCGUUGUCCGGAAUCACUGGGCGUAAAGGGCGCGUAGGUGGCGGGUCAAGCGUGCGGUGAAAGCUCGGGGCUUAACCCCGAGUCGGCCGUGCGAACUGGCUUGCUUGAGCACUGUAGAGGCAGAUGGAAUUCCGGGUGUAGCGGUGGAAUGCGUAGAGAUCCGGAAGAACACCGGUGGCGAAGGCGGUCUGCUGGGCAGUUGCUGACACUGAGGCGCGACAGCGUGGGGAGCAAACAGGG
rnacentral:rRNA from 1 species